rnacentral:rRNA from 1 species
UACAGAGGGUGCAAGCGUUAAUCGGAAUUAUUGGGCGUAAAGGGUGCGUAGGUGGUUUCAUAAGUUAGGUGUGAAAGUCCCGGGCUUAACCUGGGGAUUGCGCUUAAGACUGUGAGGCUAGAGUACUGUAGAGGGAAGUGGAAUUUCCGGUGUAGCGGUGAAAUGCGUAGAUAUCGGAAGGAACACCAGUGGCGAAGGCGACUUUCUGGACAGAUACUGACACUGAGGCACGAAAGCGUGGGGAGCAAAC